AUUGAACGCUGGCGGCAUGCUUUACACAUGCAAGUCGAACGGUAACAGGCCGCAAGGUGCUGACGAGUGGCGAACGGGUGAGUAAUGCAUCGGAACGUGCCCAGUCGUGGGGGAUAACGCAGCGAAAGCUGCGCUAAUACCGCAUACGAUCUAUGGAUGAAAGCGGGGGACCGAAAGGCCUCGCGCGAUUGGAGCGGCCGAUGUCAGAUUAGGUAGUUGGUGAGGUAAAGGCUCACCAAGCCAACGAUCUGUAGCUGGUCUGAGAGGACGACCAGCCACACUGGGACUGAGACACGGCCCAGACUCCUACGGGAGGCAGCAGUGGGGAAUUUUGGACAAUGGGCGCAAGCCUGAUUCAGCAAUGCCGCGUGCAGGAAGAAGGCCUUCGGGUUGUAAACUGCUUUUGUACGGAACGAAACGGUCCGGGUUAAUACCCUGGGCUAAUGACGGUACCGUAAGAAUAAGCACCGGCUAACUACGUGCCAGCAGCCGCCGUAACAC
rnacentral:rRNA from 1 species